UCUGUUAAGAGGAAGUUUCAUUUCCCUUGUUUCAAAUUCCUUUAACAAGAAGGGCUGUCAGGACUGUAUACAGACAACCUUGGUGUAACUGACCAGAGCGAUGCAGGGGACUGGAAUAUAAUCAGCCUUUGUGACUAACCAAUACCUAGUAUAAUGACUGUUUCUUCUUUAUGUAGCUUUUUACUCUUAGGCUACCACUGAUGCCUGACAGCUCCUAAACUGUAGCUCCCAGUACUGUCACAUAUUGAGGUCUAUAGACACUCCCUUUAUAACUAGGGAUAGGUGAACUGGCUCAGCUAAAGUGAAUGAGCACAGAACCCAAACUGAAUCUGGUUCAGAUAAAGUGAGAACAGACCCAAAUCUUCCCCCAAACUCAGACUGAAUCUCUUAUUAGGCCUGAAAAAGUUGGUUAACUUUUCAAAUGAAUAUUUUCAUUUUCACACACUUCUGUGCUUCUAGAUCCCAGCUGGGAUUAGCAGAGGAUUUGCACAAUUAGAGUCUGAUUGCGAUUGUAUACAACGCCAGUGUCACCGUGCAGUGCUAGCAGAAGGCUGGGAAUCAGGACCCCUUGUGUUCUAUUUCUGGCUCUUCCAGUGCCCUGCUAUGUGGGUCUUGUUAUGCCACUUCACUCUUUAUGCCUCUAUUGUCUCCUCUGUAGAAUGGGAAUAACAAAAUUAUGACUGCUGUUUGUGUUACAGUGACAUCUAGAAUCCACUACUGAGAUCAAGGACCCACUGUGCUAGGAACUGCAUAAACGUGAUCAUGUGGCUGAUAGCCAGAGACGAAAGAUCCCUUACUGGUGCCUCCCAGCUCUUUCCGAUUCUUCUCGCCACUCAGCAAGAACUCUCCUUUUUUAAGAGUCCAUGCUAUGGGAUCUGCCGAAGGCUGGAAGCAUACGACCAAUGUAGGCCAGAAGCUCCAGAGGGGAGCUCUCUACUGGUGAAAAGGAAAAAGUGCUGCCACAGAGUUCUUCCUUUGCAUAGACUACCUACCCACAAUUCCUCUCAGGACGCUUGAGGAGUCACCAUAACUAGACGUUAACUUGGAUUUUGGGGGUAGUUGGCUCCUAGAUCAGUUUAAAGAGUUUAUUUCUAAGCGGUCAGGAUUCUGCUGAAGGGUCUUAAGUGGUCUUGUUCCCUUUCCAGGGGGGACUUUGUUGUGACAAAUGACCCAGUGUUCUGCUUAUCUAGCACCGUAAUGAGCUACUUCAUUAGACUGGGUUAGCUGGUGGCCUCUCCAGGCAGGACUGGGUAAGCAACUCCCCUGGAACUGGAGACAGACCUGCAAAGAGACACUUGGAUGACUAGUACUUGCUGAUCCUAACAGUGAGUGGGGUUUGAUGGAUAGGUGAGGUGGUGCAGCCAAGGGACUGUGGGACAUUCCCACUAGUGGGUGGGCAGACAGUUGGAUGGACUGUUGCCAAAGUUACAGGAAAGCGGGGUAGAGGGUAUUUGACUCUUUAUAUGCAUAUCUGUUCUGUUGGUGGGUUUUCCCAGAUUCAUGACUGUGUUCCCUUUGUCCUUGUUUGUACACAGUCCUGGAGUGCUUGUGAGUGGGGAAGUUCAAGCUGUUAAGGGCACCCAGGGAGGGUGUGUUUAGUUUUUCCAGGUUUCAGGCUACAAAAACAGUGAAUCAGCUGACUCCAUGACACGCUAGCAGCUAAAAUUAAAUUUAAGUUUCCAACAUUCCUAUUUUAUCAAUACCUAUAAAUUUGACAUUACACCUUACAGGCUGCCAAAAAGAAAGCAAUUAAUAGACCUCCCUCACAGCAAAGGACCACUUUAAACUAUCCAUGAGGUCCUGAUUACAGCAGCUAUGAAGGAAAAACCAACCUUAUGGCUAAUUGGGACAGAGAUGCAGGAAAAGGAUGCAAAUCCUCUGGAUUAGAAGAGCAGUCUCCUCAGUUUGUGGUCAGCUAGGAAAAGUAACUAACUUGAGUGGUCCAGGGUUUAAAACUAGAGCAAAGAGAUUAAAAAACUGACCAUCUGUUAGAAAGGAUGCAAUGAGCAAGUCAGUUUCUUCCACAUCUGAAGGAGAAUCCUCACCUUUGGGAACUCUGGACAUUGAUUACACAAUAAAUUUGAUUAAUAACCAUAUGUAAUGUAGCAGAAACUGACUAAUUUUGCUCCUGGGAUUUGCCCUUGAUAUACAGUGCUUUCAGACUCAAUAGCACAUUAAGAACACAUUUAUCUCUGGCUGCAAGAUCUCUAUAAGAUAGGAACUGGGGACAAAGACUCCCUGUGUCUAUGUCCACGUGGUACAGAACGGCUCAAAUAAAUUGGUUAGUCUCUAAGGUGCCACAAGUACUCCUUUUCUUUUUGCGAAUAUAGACUAACAUGGCUGUUACUUUGAAACUUGAAAAUAUAUAGUGAAUGUAAAGCAAACACAUCAGCUAGAGCUUGUCUACACAGGGAAAUUUACUGGCAGAACUGUAUCGGUAUACUUAUAGUGCUGUUGUUGUACUGUAUAACUCCCCAUGCAGAAUUUCUUAUUCAGGAACAGCAGUAUAACUAUACCGGUAUAGUUCUGCUGGUAGAUUUCCCCAGCUAAACAAGACCCUACCCACACUGACGCCUCCCCCCGACACCCAGGCAUGAACAAAGGGUGCAUCUUUGCUAUGAAAAAAGGUGAGUUCUUAACUCAUGUUAACUACCAUGAAGUAAAAUCCUCACAAAGACAAGGAAGUUUGUAGUUUUCACACGUACUAAAAGAUCAAAGUAAGGAAUAGGAGGAAAGCCAACUGUCUAUCUCAACCUAACAACUCAGGUGAAACCUAUACCCUGCCUUAUCUUCACCAGGAUUUGAUUACAUGAGUUAAGAACACACCUUUUUCCCCAGUGAAGACAAGGCCAAAGAGAGAACGGAUAUUUAGAGAGCUGGCUUCCUUCUGUUGAAUUCUUACAACCCAUUUACUGGCCGUUCAACCUGAGCAUUAGCCUUCCUUUUCUGAACCUUAAUGACGAAUGAAAUUCGGUAUGGGUUUGUAGAGGAUGAAAGGUGAAAGGGGGUUGGUGCUGAGACUCAGUGGCCUAGGGAAACAAAAUCUGACUGGUUCAGCUCAAACACUAACAAUAUCAGAGGAAGCCUCCACCCUAACAUGAACAAUAUUAAGUGGGUUAAAGUUUGAGAUUACAUUUAACUGUAUUGUGCAUACAUGACGCAUUGCAAAGUAAAAAGGUGGGGGGGAAAAAACUAUGAUACCAUCUUUACACUUUUCACUUUUCAGAGCAGAACUGCACUUCAAAGUCUCUGGAAACUGAAGUGACAGAUUAUAUAUAACAGCAGCUUCAGUCUUGAAGUGGAUCUGGGAAGGCAGGGACUUUCCAGCUGACACUUUAGUGACCAUUUUCAAUUGGCCCUAGCAAAAUAAGCAGCUGGAGAGCGUGGGUGAAAUCCUAGCCCUCUUGAAGUCAAUGCCAAAACUUCUAGUGACUUCCUAGGUGCCAGGAUCUCACCCUCUGUGUGAAAAGAAUUGUUAAAGUGAAUCUGCAAAAAGAAGUAAAUCCAUUCUAGAAAGAGAACCUAGUAGCAAUCCCAUGCCUCUGAACUCCCCCUUCUGUCAGAUGAAGUGUUUGGGCCAUUCCUGUAGAAUACUGUAGUACUCCUUUGAAGGGAUAAUGGAUUGGAAAGUUCCAAGUGCCAUCAGAGGGGUUCAGAAUGUCACACACUGCCCACUUAUGGGCAAACUCACACUUCCCCAAGGGAUCUGCUGUCCUGAUUUUAUUUUUGCUGGCUUCCCUUGAAUUCCCACAACUCCAGGGGCUCUCAGUCAAUAUUGUCAUGUCAACAAGGAGUCAUUUAAUGUGCUUUUGCCCACUGAGAGCCAGAUCCUGUGAGAUGCUCAAUACAUCCUGCUAAAAUGCUGAGUGCCCUCCCCUCUGACUGGCUUCAGGGAAAGCGGAACAGGCUCAGAACCUCAGCAGGAUCAGGCCCCAUGACCCUGCAUCACUCAGCAGUAAUAAAGGAACCCCCCCAAGCAAGGCAAGCAUGUGUAACACAGGAGUGUGCGUGCUAAUGAGGGGAUGCAGCUAGCAAUAGCUAGGGCAGUAUUUGUUCCUCAGAGGGAAUAAAGGUUAGAAUGUUCCACCAACAUGGUUUUUUACAGUAGGGCCUGGCACCAAGAGACACGUCACAUUGUAAAUGACUGAUUUAUCCAGCAAACUGGAGGGGAUUCAAAGCAGAGCAACAGAAAUCAUUCAGGGGCUGGGGGUGAGGGGAAGUGGGACUAACUGCCAAGAAUUAGCUAUGUGUAACUGGGCUAAAUGACA